AGUUUCUUUUCCUCCGCUUAUUGAUAUGCUUAAACUCAGCGGGUGAUCCCGCCUGACCUGGGGUCAUUUUCGGGGGCCCGAGGGCUCCGGGGUCUUGGACGCCCCGUCGCCGGUCGCGUCACGGCUUCGAUCGAGUUGAGCGUUUCAACCACCACUCGUCGUGACGUCCCGGGACGGGGACUCCGUUUUGGGCCGACCGCAUGCUCGAGACACGGGGGGCCAAUGUCCGUCACCCGCCGCAGGGCGCGUGCGAGGGGGGUGGCGACGAUGCGUGACGCCCAGGCAGGCGUGCCCUCGGCCUAAUGGCUUCGGGCGCAACUUGCGUUCAAAAACUCGAUGGUUCACGGGAUUCUGCAAUUCACACCAAGUAUCGCAUUUCGCUACGUUCUUCAUCGAUGCGAGAGCCUAGAUAUCCGUUGCCGAGAGUCGUAUUGGUUAUAUUUCAGACGCGCCGCGUCCUCCCGACGGAAGCCGUGGGAGGGGGACGCGGACGAUCCGUUCGAGUAGUCCUUGACGCGUUCCGCGCCGGGAGUUUUGUUAGGUUCGGUGGACGGCCGAACGUGGUCCGGCCGCGCCCCCGAUUUCGUUGUCAAACGUGUUCGCGGUGGUUCGCAGGAUUCGACAAUGAUCCUUCCGCAGGUUCACCUACGGAAACCUUGUUACGACUUCUCCUUCCUCUAAAUGAUAAGGUUCAGUGGACUUCUUGCGACGUCGCGGGCGGCG
rnacentral:misc_RNA from 1 species